rnacentral:rRNA from 1 species
CAGCAGCCGCGGGAAUACAGAGGGUGCAAGCGUUAAUUGGAAUUACUGGGCGUAAAGCGCGCGUAGGUGGUUUGUUAAGUUGGAUGUGAAAUCCCCGGGCUCAACCUGGGAACUGCAUCCAAAACUGGCAAGCUAGAGUAUGGUAGAGGGUGGUGGAAUUUCCUGUGUAGCGGUGAAAUGCGUAGAUAUAGGAAGGAACACCAGUGGCGAAGGCGACCACCUGGACUGAUACUGACACUGAGGUGCGAAAGCGUGGGGAGCAAACAGGAUUAGAUACCCCGGUAGUCCCUGUCUCUUAUAC